AUUGAACGCUGGCGGCAUGCUUUACACAUGCAAGUCGAACGGCAGCACGGGUGCUUGCACCUGGUGGCGAGUGGCGAACGGGUGAGUAAUAUAUCGGAACGUACCUUAUUGUGGGGGAUAACGCAGCGAAAGCUGUGCUAAUACCGCAUAAUCCCUAAGGGGGAAAGCGGGGGACCGUAAGGCCUCGCGCAAUUAGAGCGGCCGAUACCUGAUUAGCUAGUUGGUGAGGUAAAGGCUCACCAAGGCAACGAUCAGUAGCUGGUCUGAGAGGACGAUCAGCCACACUGGGACUGAGACACGGCCCAGACUCCUACGGGAGGCAGCAGUGGGGAACUUUGGACAAUGGGGGCAACCCUGAUCCAGCAAUGCCGCGUGAGUGAAGAAGGCCUUCGGGUUGUAAAGCUCUUUUGUCAGGGAAGAAACAGCAGCUCUAACACAGUUUGCGAAUGACGGUACCUGAAGAAUAAGCACCGGCUAACUACGUGCCAGCAGCCGCGGUAA
rnacentral:rRNA from 1 species